rnacentral:rRNA from 1 species
AGAGUUUGAUCCUGGCUCAGGACGAACGCUGGCGGCGUGCCUAACACAUGCAAGUCGAACGGAGAAUUUUAUUUCGGUAGAAUUCUUAGUGGCGAACGGGUGAGUAACGCGUAGGCAACCUGCCCUUUAGACGGGGACAACAUUCCGAAAGGAGUGCUAAUACCGGAUGUGAUCAUUGUGCCGCAUGGCAGGAUGAAGAAAGAUGGCCUCUACAAGUAAGCUAUCGCUAAAGGAUGGGCCUGCGUCUGAUUAGCUAGUUGGUAGUGUAACGGACUACCAAGGCGAUGAUCAGUAGCCGGUCUGAGAGGAUGAACGGCCACAUUGGGACUGAGACACGGCCCAAACUCCUACGGGAGGCAGCAGUGGGGAAUCUUCCGCAAUGGACGAAAGUCUGACGGAGCAACGCCGCGUGAGUGAUGAAGGAUUUCGGUCUGUAAAGCUCUGUUGUUUAUGACGAACGUGCAGUGUGUGAACAAUGCAUUGCAAUGACGGUAGUAAACGAGGAAGCCACGGCUAACUACGUGCCAGCAGCCGCGGUAAUACGUAGGUGGCGAGCGUUGUCCGGAAUUAUUGGGCGUAAAGAGCAUGUAGGCGGCUUAAUAAGUCGAGCGUGAAAAUGCGGGGCUCAACCCCGUAUGGCGCUGGAAACUGUUAGGCUUGAGUGCAGGAGAGGAAAGGGGAAUUCCCAGUGUAGCGGUGAAAUGCGUAGAUAUUGGGAGGAACACCAGUGGCGAAGGCGCCUUUCUGGACUGUGUCUGACGCUGAGAUGCGAAAGCCAGGGUAGCGAACGGGAUUAGAUACCCCGGUAGUCCUGGCCGUAAACGAUGGGUACUAGGUGUAGGAGGUAUCGACCCCUUCUGUGCCGGAGUUAACGCAAUAAGUACCCCGCCUGGGGAGUACGGCCGCAAGGUUGAAACUCAAAGGAAUUGACGGGGGCCCGCACAAGCGGUGGAGUAUGUGGUUUAAUUCGAAGCAACGCGAAGAACCUUACCAGGGCUUGACAUCCUACUAACGAAGCAGAGAUGCAUUAGGUGCCCUUCGGGGAAAGUAGAGACAGGUGGUGCAUGGUUGUCGUCAGCUCGUGUCGUGAGAUGUUGGGUUAAGUC